AGCAGCCGCGGUAAUUCCAGCUCCAAUAGCGUAUAUUAAAGUUGUUGCAGUUAAAAAGCUCGUAGUUGAAUUUCGGGGUUAGUAAGUUGGUCAUGCCUUCGGUAUGUACUGGCUUUACUGAUUCCUCCUUCUUGACGAACCGUGAUUUCAUUAAUUUGGUGUUGCGGGAAAUCAGGACUGUUACUUUGAAAAAAUUAGAGUGUUUAAAGCAGGCUAACGCUUGAAUACAUUAGCAUGGAAUAAUGAAAUAGGACGUUAAUCCUAUUUUGUUGGUUUCUAGGAUCGACGUAAUGAUUAAUAGGGAUAGUUGGGGGCAUUAGUAUUUAAUUGUCAGAGGUGAAAUUCUUGGAUUUAUUGAAGACUAACUACUGCGAAAGCAUUUGCCAAGGAUGUUUUCAUUAAUCAAGAACGAAAGUUAGGGGAUCGAAGACGAUCAGAUACCGUCGUAGUCUUAACCAUAAACUAUGCCGACUAGGGAUCGGAUGAUGUUAUUUUUAAUGACUCAUUCGGCGCCUUACGG
rnacentral:rRNA from 1 species